rnacentral:misc_RNA from 1 species
AAGUCGUAACAAGGUUUCCGUAGGUGAACCUGCGGAAGGAUCAUUACAGUGUUCCCUGCCCUCACGGGUAGAAACGCCCACCCUUUGUGUAAUAUAUCUUGUUGCUUUGGCGGGCCGCCUUCGGGCACCGGCUUCGGCUGGGUUGCGCCUGCCAGAGGACCCCAAACUCUGAAUGUUAGUGUCGUCUGAGUACCAUAUAAUAGUUAAAACUUUCAACAACGGAUCUCUUGGUUCUG